rnacentral:rRNA from 1 species
UACGGGGGGGGCAAGCGUUGUUCGGAAUUGCUGGGCGUAAAGGGCUCGUAGGCGGCCAACUAAGUCGGAUGUGAAAUCCCCAGGCUUAACCUGGGAACUGCAUCCGAUACUGGAUGGCUUGAAUCCGGGAGAGGGAUGCGGAAUUCCAGGUGUAGCGGUGAAAUGCGUAGAUAUCUGGAGGAACACCGGUGGCGAAGGCGGCAUCCUGGACCGGCAUUGACGCUGAGGAGCGAAAGCCAGGGGAGCAAACGGG